rnacentral:ncRNA from 1 species
UACCUUUGCAACCGAAUUAGGAAAAUCCUAAAUUCAUACAUAAAAAUCAUUUAAUAUAAUAUUGGAAUG